AAAAAUAUGAGGGUUUAUCAAUGUGUUGAUUGGAAAUUUGGAAUAUUGCACGUGACUUCUAGUAGUACAUUUCAACAAAGAGUAACACAGCACACUUGCCUUAUUCACUCCGCCUUUUUUCUCUCCCCCUUCUUAAUUCUCCUUUUUCAUUCAUUUUCUUUCCAAAAACCCUAAAAAAUGGAGCAUCCAUUUUUCCUCAAUGCCGCUCCAGCUAACCGAGCCGAAGCACUCCGUUUACUCCAAAUCGCUGAAAAACUCUUAAACAAUCGUGAUUUAGUUGGUAGCAAGUCAUUUGCUACUCGUGCUCGUGAAUCCGACCCAACACUUUCACCCGUUACUGACCAAAUCCUCGCAAUCCUAGAUACGUUAAUCGCUGGAGAUAAGCGGAUUAACAAUCAUCACUUUGAUUAUUACUCCAUUUUACGAAUCCCGAGUAGUCAGACUCAGAAUGUUGAUUUUAUUGCUGAACAGUAUAGGAGGUUUGCGGUUCUUCUUGACCCGCAGAGUAAUAGUUUCCCUUUUACGGAACAGGCUUGUAGGCUUGUUUUUGAUGCGUAUUCGGUACUUUCGAAUCCGAUGAGGAAGAAUAUGUAUGAUAAGGAAUUGGGGUUUUUUAGGAAUCUUUAUCCGGUUGUGGGUCAGAAUCAGAAUGUUUGUAUGCCAAUGCCGAUUAACUCCAAUGCAGACCAGGUGUUUGUGAAUUUGCCUAGUCAAGAUUCAGGGUCAAAUGCUGCUGGAUUGAGUUUUAGUAGAGACCCACAAGCGGGGAUUUCUAUGCCUAUGAGCUCUAUGGCAAGCUCGGGCAUGGAGCAGCAACCUGCAACGUUUUUGAGACAGCAGACACAGCCUGUGACUUCGAUUUCAUUUUCGAAGGCCGAUGAACAACCUGCUACAUUCUUGAAUUUGAACCAACCACAACCGGUGAACUCUGUGAGGAGCUUAAAUAGAGAAAACCAACAACUUGGUACCGGUUCGAGCUCAACACAACGGAGAGAACAGGUGGUUUCUGUAGAGAAGCAUGGGCAUCAAAGAGAAAACCCACAAUUUGGUGUUGGGUCGAGCUCCAAACAAGGGCGAGAACAGGUGGUUUCUGCAGAGAAGCAUGGGAAUCAAGGAGGAAAUCCACAAUUUGGUAUUGGGUCGAGCUCGACGCAAGGGGGAGAACAGGUGGUUUCUGCAGAGCAGCGUGGGAAUCAACAAGAAGCCCCACAAUUUGGCAUUGGGUCAAGCUCGCCACAAGGGCGAGAAGAAGAACGAGUACAUGUGUUUUUUGCGGAGCAGCAUGGGAAUAAACUGGCUCAGAAGGGAAAUGAAAAUAUGGUGGGGAACAAUGCAAGUAAGUCUGCAAGUGCUAGCGAGAAUGUGAAGGAGAAAGAAGGGAAUGCAGAUGCAUCAGGUAAGAAGAUACCUAGUUUCUGGACCGCAUGCCCUUGCUGUCUGAGUAUGUAUGAAUACUCUGUGGAUUAUACUAAUCGUUAUUUAAGUUGUCAAAAUUGUAAUAAGGCUUUUCAAGCUGUACCAAUUGCAUCUCCUCCUCCAAUUGUUGAUGGAAAAGAACUUAAUUUUUGUUCUUGGGGAUUUAUGCCUUUUGGAUUGUGUUUGGAGGAUUUUAAUAGAAAUAUAGACAGUUCGAGCUGGUCCCCGUUUUCGCCCAUGUUUACAUGUCCGCGAUUUGGGGGGAAUGGAGGGGGUAAUGUAAAGAAUCAUGCUGUUGGAGGACAGAGUAAUGUGAAUAAGCUUGGCAGUUUGCAUAAUGCUGGUGGAUCGGUAAGUGGGGUUGGACGAAAGAAUUCUGCUCCAACAAUAUAUAUUGUUGAUGAUGAGGAAGAUGAUGUGUUUGUUGAGGUAUCGGGGUCAGAUGAGGAGUGGAGUCAGGUUAAGGAGAGGAAGAAAGCAAAGAAUGGGAAGCGAAAGAGUGCAAGGACUGGAACCCCAAGUAAAAAUGGCGUCAGCUUGCAAGAUGGUUUAGCAACUCAAGGUGGUGUAGAAAUGUCCCAUGUUGUGGCAGUUGAGUCAAGUAAGAGAGGUGUUGCAAGUAAGACAAGAAGGCAUCCUGGGAGGUUCGCAAAGCACUUCGGUAAUUUGGAUUUGAAUGUUGAGUUCAGUAAUGAGGUUGAAGAGCCUAAAAUUCAGAUGAGCAAUGUAGCAGGAGAGGGAGAUGAUGAUACUGUUGAAGUAAUUGGAUUUUUUGAUGGUCUUGAUGAAUUCCUUAGUGGUCUUCCUAUACUCGAUGCUGUGGAUGGUGAUAAGAUAGAGGCUGCCUAGCGAAGUGGGUCUGACUUGUCCCAUGCCACUGUUCCUGAAGAGUCUCAGACAAUGAGGGAGAAACUAGAAAUGAGAAAUCGUGUGCUGCAGCAGGCUAAAGAGAAUGGCUGUUAAGAAUUUUGGAUUUGCUCCAUGUUUCAGGAUGAGAAAGCAAGCUCUGCCCAGAAGAUUAUUGUUAACACAAUGGUGAAAGCAAGGAGUAUUCUCAACGUUACCAGUUUCAAAAAAAAAAAAAAAAAAAAAGCAAGCAGUAUUCUCUCUGCAUUAAUAAACGAUGCAAUGGAGAUAUCUGCCAAAGAUGAUGGAAGGUUUCCAAUAGAAAUGAGACCCUUUCAGUUUAGUUUGCUGGUCUUGUCUUGUUAAGGGCUUGUGCAUCUAUAAGGGCUACUCUGCAUUUUUUUUCCGAUGUUCCUACUUCUUUGCCUACUCAUGUGAUGGGCAACGAGCAUAGAACCAUUUAGGUUUUGUUCCAUAUUGUCGGACUUUUAUCAAAUGUCAGCAUCGGAACGGACACUGAUUUAUUUGGGGUGGUUUUAGAGAUUGGAGCUGAGGGUGGGAAUUACAGUUUGGGGAACAAGAGGGCCAUGCACGACAGAAGAAUAUGUGACCAUAAAAUUUGAUACUGCGGGUAAUUUUGAAGGUUCUCAAUCAGAUAGUUCAGUCUCCACCAUUCACUUUGGUGGAAGAAGGCACAGCUGCAAGGAAGUGUGGAGGGCAUGUGCAAAAAGCUUGUCCAGAUGAUGCAGGGAAUAAUAUAUGGAUGUCCUUGAAUGCCCAGGGUCACGGUCAAGUGAUGACACUCAUUCUGAGAUUUCAAAAAGAGACAUCUUUUAGGAAGCACAUGUUAGAAUAUUCUUUGGAGCAACCAAUUUCCCAAAACAAUGUUUCAAAAGCCCACAUGUACUCCUCGCUGCUGAUAACAACAACAAGAAGAUGAUGACGUACAUAGCACUGACUGCUAGUUCUGCAGCCAUAGUUGGCCCUUGAUCAUAGCACUGACUGCUAGUUCAGAGGAACAAGUACGGGAGAGAUGCCUACAGGUGGGAAUGAAUGGUCUAAUAAGGAAGCCUGUUCUCCUACAAGGUUUAGCAGAUGUGAACUAUAACGACUCCUUCAAAAGGGGUGGUGGGGUUGGCUUGUGAGGUCUAGUACUAAUGGUGAAAAGCAAACUUCAAAAGGUUCCUAGAGAGCAUGAACAGAUCUUAAUAUCAUACUCCAUGUAGCAAUUGCAUUACAUCUUUGUUAGAGGAAACCAGCUUCUUCCUAACCAACUGCCAAUUUCUAAUAUGUAAUUACAUCGCUCUUCUUGCAAUCUCGGCUUAUGGUGAAGUGAAAUAUGUCAAGAUGGUGGUAUGGGGUCCGUCAUUUCCCCCCUAAGAAACAGGAAGGAUGUUGCUGAUUUGAAAAACUUUUAAUCCUUGCAUGUCCAUAAUCUCAGUUAAUCCUUGUGGAAGUCGUAUGCUUGAAUUUUGUACCUGGCCCGUCAUUGUUACUUUUGGUUACACGCGUAAUAAACUUUUGACUAGUACUUUCUUGUAGCCAUGAUGUUCAGGGCAACUCAUGCUUCUCUUCGACUAGUCGAGUACUUGUUACCUCCAUUUAACACGUGUUGUCUAACUUAAGUUGGUCAAACGGAAGUUGAUGUCACUGCAUCGACUCAGUAGCCCACAUGCUUGGAUGCUAGAUGUUACUAUGUAUUUAGAUGUAGAUAUUCAUGUUUUAAGAAACAAGAAGGAAGAAUGUUACUGAUACAAACGAGGAUUUGUAACCCUUGCAAUCUUAUACUUGUUUUUCCUA